CACUAAUAUCGAAUUAUUAACUUGCCCAUAUCGAAUCGAAUUUCUUCCCAGCUAUAAACAGCUGCAGUUUUAGUAUCGAAUAAGGUUCGAAAGCGAUCAGAUACCGCCCUAGUUCUAACUAUAAACGAUACCAGCCAGCGAUCCGACUGUUUUCCUCAAAUGACACGCCGGGCAGCUUCUGGGAAACCGAAGCUUUUGGGUUCCGGGGAAAGUAUGGUUGCAAAGCUGAAACUUAAAGGAAUUGACGGAAGGGCAUCCCACGCAAAAAAGCCUCUCGAUGCCCACGAAGGCUCACCUACCGGCGCUGAUGCCCUGUAGGACGUAGUGAGUUUUGAACCGAAAGCAAGAGAUAAAAU
rnacentral:ncRNA from 1 species